rnacentral:rRNA from 1 species
GAUGAACGCUGGCGGCGUGCCUAAUACAUGCAAGUCGAGCGAAUGGAUUAAGAGCUUGCUCUUAUGAAGUUAGCGGCGGACGGGUGAGUAACACGUGGGUAACCUGCCCAUAAGACUGGGAUAACUCCGGGAAACCGGGGCUAAUACCGGAUAACAUUUUGAACCGCAUGGUUCGAAAUUGAAAGGCGGCUUCGGCUGUCACUUAUGGAUGGACUCGCGUAGCAUUAGCUAGUUGGUGAGGUAACGGCUCACCAAGGCAACGAUGCGUAGCCGAACUGUGAGGGUGAUCGGCCACACUGGGCCUGAGACGCGGCCCAGACUCCUACGGGAGGCAGCAGUAGGGAAUCUUCCGCAAUGGACGAAAGUCUGACGGAGCAACGCCGCGUGAGUGAUGAAGGCUUUCGGGUCGUAAAACUCUGUUGUUAGGGAAGAACAAGUGCUAGUUGAAUAAGCUGGCACCUUGACGGUACCUAACCAGAAAGCCACGGCUAACUACGUGCCAGCCGCCGCAGUAA